ACUUAUAUAGUUUAAAUAAAACAUAUCAUUUUCAGUGAUAAAACAAGAACUUAAUCUUUAUAAGUA
rnacentral:tRNA from 1 species